rnacentral:rRNA from 1 species
UUAGUAACGGCGAGCGAACAGGGAAGAGCCCAGCACUGAAUCGCGCGGCCAAUCGGUCGUAGCGAAAUGUAGUGUAUGGGAGGAUUCUGCUGCUAUCAAACAAUGUGUCCAAGUCCUUCUUGAACGGGGCCGUUUACCCAUAGAGGGUGCCAGGCCCGUAGAGACCAUUGUCGAUGGCGUAGUCAGAAUCUCUCCUUUGAGUCGGGUUGCUUGAGAGUGCAGCCCUAAGUAGGUGGUAAGCUCCAUCUAAGGCUAAAUAUAACCACGAGUCCGAUAGCGAACAAGUACCGUGAGGGAAAGUUGAAAAGGACUUUGAAGAGAGAGUUCAAGAGUACGUGAAACCGUUUAGUUGAAAACCUGAGAGGCCUGAAGUUCGAAUGGGGAGAUUCAUUGUGUGAAGCUUGGGCGAGUGCAGUUAGUAUCAGUGUUUGCCUCUGUGCAUUCAUUGUUUGCUUCCGUGCGCCGCUAUCUUGUGGAUCGCGUGCACUUUUCCCCUAGUAGAACGUCGCGACCCGUUKGGUGUCGGUMKUGGCUCGCAGUGGAGCCCGGCCUUCGGCUUCGGUCGAUUGUCCGGACCUGUGAUGUCCCGUCCGGCUGCUCGACGGUCGUGGAAUACUAGAGGCGUAGAGCGUCGCCUUGGUGCGCGUUCGGCCUGAUUCUGACGCAUUCGGUUACCCACACACCGCACUUGUGUCGGUCGCGGGGCCGUUUGGCAGUUAGUUUCGGUGUUUCCGGACAGUCUCUACGCCUGUUAGCGGCGCGCUAGCGUUAGGCCCUUACAGGUCCCGUCUUGAAACACGGACCAAGGAGUCUAGCAUGUACGCAAGUCACUGGGACCAACGAAUCCUAAAGGCGAAAUGAAAGUAAAGGCAAAUGUUGCUUUUGCAAUGAGGGAGGAAAGGUCGCGAAAGGGGCCCGUCUCUCCCGGGGUGUCUCGUUCUCAUUGCGAGAAGAGGCGCACCUUGAGCGUACAUGCUGGUACCCGAAAGAUGGUGAACUAUGCCUGUUCGGAAC